rnacentral:RNase_P_RNA from 1 species
GAAGCAGGCCAGACCGCCGCUGGUGCAAGCGUGGAAACACGGCACUGGAGGAAGGUCCGGACUGCGCAGGGCGGCGUAGCAGCUAACGGCUGUCCACCGUGAGGUGAGGAUCAGAGCAACAGAGACGAGUCAGGGCGGGGUCCCGUGGCGGGUGUUCUGCCAGGCGCCGGCGCAAGCCGGCAAGGCCGCGCGGCUUGCCCGCGUGGCACCGGGCGCAAGCCCGGUCCUGGCAGCCACCCAAGACGGGGUAACACCCCGCCUUGGGUGAAACGGGCAAUCUCUACGCGCAGCAAUACCAAGUAGGCACACGCUGAGCGGCGCGGCAGUGACCGCGCUCAACAGGGCCCUGGCCCGGGGACGGUGUGCGGGUAGGUAGCACCGAGCCGGUGGGCGACCACCGGCCCAGAGGAAUGGCGGUCACGGCGGGGCUCCGCAAGGGGCACUGCCGCACAGAAUCCGGCCUAUCGGUCUGCUUCACAC